AUUGAACGCUGGCGGCAUGCCUAACACAUGCAAGUCGAACGAGUGGCGGACGGGUGAGUCAUGUCUGGGAACCUGCCCGAUGGAGGGGGAUAACUACUGGAAACGGUAGCUAAUACCGCAUACCAUCGGAUGUGCCCAGAUGGGAUUAGCUAGUAGGUGGGGUAAAGGCUCACCAGGGCAACGAUCCCUAGCGGGUCUGAGAGGAUGACCAGCCACACUGGAACUGAGACACGGCCCAGACUCCAACGGGAGGCAGCAGUGGGAAAUAUUGCACAAUGGGGGCAAGCCUGAUGCAGCCAUGCCGCGUGUAUGAGGAAGGCCUUCGGGUUGUAAAGUACUUUCAGCGGGGAGGCGGUACCUGCAGAAGAAGCACCGGCUAACUCCGUGCCAGCAGCCGCGGUAAUAC
rnacentral:rRNA from 1 species